GCGGUCAAAAGCUCGUAGUUGGAUCUCGCAGGUUGGGGGUGGUUCAUUAUUUAAUGUUUACUGCUCCAUGAACUUGUGUUUUUUGACAGAGGUUCCAAGGUGCUCUUAACCGAGUGUCGUGGGAUGCUGUCAGGUUUACUUUGAAAAAAUUAGAGUGCUCAAAGCAGGCUUUACAAGCUUGAAUAUUGGUGCAUGGAAUAAUAGAAUAGGAUGUUGUGUCCUUUUUGUUGGUUGUAGGAUAUUAACAUAAUGAUUAAUAGGGACAGUCGGGGGCAUUAGUAUUCAGACGACAGAGGUGAAAUUCUUGGACCGUUUGAAGACUAACUACUGCGAAAGCAUUUGCCAAGAAUGUUUUCAUUAAUCAAGAACGAAAGUUAGAGGUUCGAAGGCGAUCAGAUACCGCCCUAGUUCUAACCAUAAACGAUGCCAGCUAGCGAUCCGCUUGUGUUUCUUCUAAGGCCCUGCGGGAAGCUUCCGGGAAACCAAAGCUUUUGGGUUCCGGGGGAAGUAUGGUUGCAAAGCUGAAACUUAAAGGAAUUGACGGAAGGGCACCACCAGGAGUGGAGCCUGCGGCUUAAUUUGACUCAACACGGGAAAUCUCACCAGGCCCGGACACUGGAAGGAUUGACAGAUUGAGAGCUCUUUCUCGAUUCGGUGGGUGGUGGUGCAUGGCCGUUCUUAGUUGGUGGAGUGAUUUGUCUGGUUAAUUCCGAUAACGAACGAGACUCUGUCCUGCUAAAUAGUUUCAAUGUCUUUUUAAUUUACAUUGGAAAUACUCUUCUUAGAGGGACUGGCGGCGUCUAGCCGCACGAGAUUGAGCAAUAACAGGUCUGUGAUGCCCUUAGAUGUUCUGGGCUGCACGCGCGCUACACUGAAGAGCUCAACGUGUUUUCCCUUCCUGAGAAGGACGGGUAACCCGCUGAACCCUCUUCGUGGUAGGGAUCGGGGCUUGCAAUUAUUCCCCGUGAACCAGGAAUUCCCAGUAAGCGCAAGUCAUAAGCUUGCGUUGAUUACGUCCCUGCCCUUUGUACACACCGCCCGUCGCUACUACCGAUUGAACGUUUUAGUGAGGUAUUUGGACUGGAUCUCCGGAAUGUUUCAUUCUGGUGCUUUCCGGAAAGAUUCCCAAACUUGAGCGUUUAGAGGAAGUAAAAGUCGUAC
rnacentral:rRNA from 1 species